UUUUGACAAUCCAUUUACAGG
ensembl:piRNA 21ur-13843 ncRNA